rnacentral:rRNA from 1 species
ACGGGGUGCAGCAGGCGCGAAAACUUUACAAUGCUGGCAACAGCGAUAAGGGAACCUCGAGUGCCAGGUUACAAAUCUGGCUGUCGAGAUGCCUAAAAAGCAUUUCAUAGCAAGGGCCGGGCAAGACCGGUGCCAGCCGCCGCGGUAACACCGGCGGCUCGAGUGGUAACCGUUAUUAUUGGGUCUAAAGGGUUCGUAGCCGGCCGGAUAAGUCUCUUGAGAAAUCUGGCAGCUUAACUGUCAGGCUUUCAGGAGAUACUGUCUGGCUCGAGGCCGGGAGAGGUGAGAGGUACUUCGGGGGUAGGAGUGAAAUCCUGUAAUCCUCGAGGGACCACCUGUGGCGAAGGCGCCUCACCAGAACGGCUUUGACAGUGAGGGACGAAAGCUGGGGGAGCAAACCGGAUUAGAUACCCGGGUAGUCCCAGCCGUAAACUAUGCGCGUUAGGUGUAUGGGUGACCACGAGUUACCGAGGUGCCGAAGGGAAACCGUGAAACGUGCCGCCUGGGAAGUACGGUCGCAAGGCUGAAACUUAAAGGAAUUGGCGGGGGAGCACCACAACAGGGUGGAGCUGCGGUUUAAUUGGACUCAACGCCGGAA